rnacentral:rRNA from 1 species
AAACCGUUCAGGGGUAAACCUGAGAAACCCAAAAGAUCGAAUGAGGAGAUUCAUCGUCAACGGCCGCUGGCUCCCGUUGCUGGCGAUGCCCCGCAACGUACCUUCGCGGUACGUGUAGCGUGAGGGCACGCACCUUCGGCGAUUGUUUCGGCGUCGUAGUCGUGCACUUCUCCUCUAGUAGAACGUCGCGACCCGUUGUGUGUCGGUCUACGGCCCGAGCGGUAGCCUGUCCCUUCGCCUUGUGCGUUCGCGACAGACCCUCGGUCGCCCGGCCGGCUGCACGACGGUACUCGCACGGUAUCGGGCCGCAACCAAUCCAUUCUCGAAUGUAUAUGCGUCAGGCCCGCCGCAAGCUCGGUCAGUUUACCCGGAGGCACGGACCUGGUGCCGUCCCCGGGCCUGGCCAGCUGUUGGCAGGCGGUGUCCUCGGACUGGCCAAGCUUUGAAUUACCGGUCGGCGACGCUAUUGCUUUGGGUACUCUCAGGACCCGUCUUGAAACACGGACCAAGGAGUCUAACAUGUGCGCGAGUCAUUGGGAUAAUUAAACCUAAAGGCGCAAUGAAAGUGAAGGUCGUCCUUCGACCGGUUGACCGAGGGAGGAUGGGCCGCGUAACUAUGCGGCCUCGCACUCCCGGGGCGUCUCGUUCUCAUUGCGAGAAGAGGCGCACCCAGAGCGUACACGUU